UUCUUUUUCCCGAAUCGAUUUUCAUUUCCUUAUUCGAUGUCUAUUUCCUUAUUCGAAUUCCAUUUCCUGAUUCGAUUUUCAUUUCCUUAUUCGGUUUCUUUUUCCUUUUUCAAUAUUCAUUUCCUUUUUCGGUUUCUAUUCCCUUAUUCGGUUUCUAUUUCCUUAUUGGAUUUUCAUUUCCUUAUUCGAUUUCCAUUUCCUUAUUCGAUUUCUGUUUCCUUAUUCGGUUUCUAUUUCCUUAUUCGGUUUCUAUUUCCUUAUUCGGUUUCUAUUUCCUUUAUCGGUUUCUGUUUCCUUAUUUGAUUUCUUUUUCCUUAUUAAAUUUUCAUUUCCUUAUUCGGUUACUAUUUCCUUAUAUUUUCAACUAUCAAACAUCAACACACACCAAACUGGAUGUAAUUGAAAGAUAUCUAGAGGUCAAUAUACAGGCUCGAACAAAAGACAAAAAAGGAAAAAUAUAGCGAGCUUUUUUGGGAUGAAGAUGUAGUAAAGACCGAACGUCAGUUUUAGUCGGAUAUACUUUAAUGUUAGUCUUACAUGUUGUUCUGGAACUCAUUCCUCAUUUAUUCGUCAAGUGAUCAUCAUUUUAUAUUGUUAACGUUUCAUUGCGUACAUCGCUUAAUGUGCGCCAGUUUUAGGAGUUUUAUACAGGACAGUGUAGGAAUCCAUGAUACUUUCCCCUUUCUCUGAAUAACGAAAACUGCUCAGCGUGUCAUGUGCACAACUA
rnacentral:lncRNA from 1 species